rnacentral:rRNA from 1 species
UACAGAGGUCUCAAGCGUUGUUCGGAUUCAUUGGGCGUAAAGGGUGCGUAGGCGGCGCGGUAAGUCGGGUGUGAAAUUUCGAGGCUUAACUUCGAAACUGCAUUCGAUACUGCCGUGCUUGAGGACUGGAGAGGAGACUGGAAUUUACGGUGUAGCGGUGAAAUGCGUAGAUAUCGUAAGGAAGACCAGUGGCGAAGGCGGGUCUCUGGACAGUUCCUGACGCUGAGGCACGAAAGCGUGGGGAGCGAACAGG